GGAGCCAUAGCUCAGCUGGUUUAGAGCGUUGCAUUGACAUUGCAAAGGUCUGUGGUUCGAAUCCACAUGGCUCCA
rnacentral:tRNA from 1 species